GCGGGUGUGGCGGAAUCGGCAGACGCGCUAGAUUCAGGUUCUAGUGGUAGUAAUACCGUAUGGGUUCAAGUCCCUUCACCCGCACCA
rnacentral:tRNA from 1 species